GAAUGAAUGAAACAGAAUUUAUUAAGUACUUAUCAUGUACUAAACACUAUACUAAGCACUAAGGAUACAAAUAUACAAUCAAGACAAGUCCCUACCUCAAGGAGUUCAUAUUCUAACAAUAUAUUCUUAACAAUAGAAAGACAACACACCUAAGUGGCCAAGGAAAUCUGUUUUGGUUUAGGAAACAUGUUGAUUGGAUCUAUGGAGCAACUGAUCCAAUAGAUCCUUUACAGAAACAAUAGCAGAUCUGUACAAAUCCAAUAAAAGUGUAAGAAUGAAGUUAAGGAUCUGGAUAGAAUUUUAGAAAAGUUAGGUAGGCCUUUGGCCAUUGAGGAAGGGGAAUCAACAGAAAUAUACAUAGUUCUUGGUCUUGCAUUGUACCUUGAAAAAAUUAACCAUGUGCCAGAGCAGAAAGAAUUCAUAAAAAUGCAGAAAAGCAUAAAUAUCAAACACACUCUUUACUGAACAUAAAUGCAACAAUAAAAGUUAUAAUCAAGAAUUUGUAGAAGGGAUUCAGCCCCAAAUAGAGACUACAUAUUAGAAUCUUUAAAAUACGUGUAGGUCAAAGAACAAGCUAUGCCAACAAUAAUUUAAUUAAAGAAAAUGACAAUUAUGAUAACAUGAAAAAAUUCAGGAUGCAGAUAAAGCAGUUCUUAGUAGAAAAUUUUUAUCUGUAAACACUUUCAGCAACAGAAGUUAUUCCCAAAGCUAGGAGUAGAAAAGGUUGAGCAUAGAGGUGAGGAAGUACUACUACGUGUGUGUGGAUGGCAAGAUGUCAAACCCAGAGGGCUGAAAGGGAUGUGUAAAUGGCUUGGCUCCUAAUGGCUCCUAAUUUACAAAGUCAUUAUGUACAUUCUUAAAUGAACGAUUAAAAAAAAAAAAAACUCAAAGCAAAUAUUCAUAAUCCAUCAAUGAACAAAUCCCCACCUUUGGCCGAGAGCCAGGACUCAUUCUACAUUUUAGGUUCAUUGCAGGAGUGAAUGGCAUGAUUAAUGUACAAUCCUCUAGAUUUUGUUUACACUAUACAAAGUUCUCAAGUCUUUCAACGUUGUUCCUAUCUGUACUUUUAUUAAAGUCUAUUUUUUCAUUUUUCAUACCAUAAUAAUUUUCAUUUCAAACCAUAAUCCCCUCAAUUAUUGCAUUAUCCGAGAAUAUCAUUUUCCUGCUUAAAUAACUUUGAUACUUUCCUGUUAUCUCUAAGAUAAAUACAAACAUUUCAGGUUAGCAUUAACCUUACACAAUCUAGCCUCCAUUUGCCUUUCCAGAAUUCUUCCCCCCACCCUCCAUUUAUUUUAAUCUUUUAAAAUUCAAUGAUCUUUUGUUUUUCCAUCACUUUCAUGGUCUAAUAUAUCCAUAUAUCUUGAAGCAAAAGGGAAAAGACAGUUUGACAAAACUGAUAAACACAUCAACCAAAUCUGAUAUUAUAUGACACAUACAGGAUCCCACAUUAAGAAGAGACCCUCACAUCCGCAAGAAAGGAAGGAGAUAACUUUAUCUCAAACACCCCUUCCUUUGCAGCUGUUUGGUCAUUAAAAUAACACAACAUUCAGUUCUAUUUAUUUUGUGUUCUUUCCAUUUGGAUGAUUCAUAUUAUCUCCCUGGUUUUUACUUCACUCAGUAUCAGUUAAUUUCUAUCUUCCAAUGAUUCUCUGAAUUCUUCAUACUCGUCAUUUCACAUAGCAUAGUAAUAUAACAUUAUCAAUCACUGACUCUUAUUUAUGCUUUAAAAAAAAAAAAUCAGAAUCAUUUCCCAAUAUACCUUUCCCCACAGCAAACCAUUGCUGGUAACGAAGAAAAAAAUUAAAACCCAAUCAACAAAGCAACGAUAACUAGAGGAUACACAACAUUCUAUCUUCAGCCACUCCUCUACCAAGUCUAAAAUGUCCAUUGUAAGGAAGUGGAGGUGAUAAAGGAAUAUCAAUGAGAGGGUGAAAUACUUUUUUUAAAAAAUGUGCAUAAUGACUAUGCAAAUUAUGACAAUUAUUAACAAAUCCCUGAUAAAUAUACCUAGAAAAAGAUCAUCUGGGCCAGCCCUAUAAUGGUACUGGGAUUUUCAAUGGAUUUUUGGAAGUCCUGCCCUGAGGCAUUUUUCCUGAUAGUGAAUUCCUAGUUUCUCUGGAACAGGAUUGAUCACUGCAAUUAUUCUGUUUGGUAGCAUUUUAAUUUCAUUUUCAUUCAUAUUAUUGCAAUCAUUUAGUAUAUGGAUUUUGCUUCAAUUUUCUUCCUUCUAUAUCACUUCACCCAAAUUUCCCAAGUUUCCGAGUUCCUCGUGUUUGUCAUUUCUAAUAGUGCAAGGACAUUUUAUUACAUUCAUCUACAACAAUUUAUUCUAUCAUUUCCCAAUAAAAGGGUACCCUUGUUGCUUCCAGUUCUUGGCUAAUAGAGUACCCUUAUUCUGAAAAAUUCUGCAUAUAUUUUUUUCACUGAUAUCCUUGGGGUAUGUGCCCAGUAGUGGUGUGAUUCCUUAAAAGGCUUAUUAAUAGGAGUAGAAAUAGGGAUCAAGUCAGGACCUGAUUUUACUGGCAAAGGGAACUCCUGAAUAAGGAUCUAACAAUGUAAGUCGGCACCUUUUCUGCAGCUUGUGGUCCUAGAGAGGUGCCUGGAGAACUGAGAAGUCAGCAGGUGAUCCAGAGGCCAGAUUCAAACUCGGAUCUUCGUGGAUCCAAGGCCAACUGAAUAUUCACUAGGCUAGGGAGCCUGUUGUGACGAUGAUGAUUGUCAUACACAACUAUGUCAUUUUUCCUCACUGGAAGCUGGAGACUUGAGGAAAAUAGCACUAGAAUAAAAAAAAUUAGCACAUAGCAGCCCCCAGUGAAAGUUCUCCAAGAUACUUGUGGUCUUCUGAAGGCACAGACAUGUUUCUGUUACAUUAGGGAAGGACUGUGAUUUUCUCAUAGCGAGAAAAUAAAAAUGGCUUACUGCCUCCUCCAGGGUGACAAUGAAGACGAGUGGGUGAGCCCUUAUGAAAGCAGCAGCUGUGGGGACUGUCACAGAUCAGGGGCCCUGAUGCAGGUCCGACACCAGCAGGCCCUGUAAGUUACAAGGAGGACCAGAAAAGGGGAAGACUGGAUCUCCUCCAAAGGAAAGCCUCAUCUGGGAAUAACCAAAAACAAAAACAAAAGACAAAAAAGAAAAGGUUUUUUUAAAGUGCCUACUGUGUGCCAAGAAUGGUGCUAGGUGCUGGGGGUAUAAAUAAAGCCAAGACACUCCCUGUUCCCAGGGAGUGUGCAUUGUAGUCAUGUAUUGGCUAUAGUGUACAAGUCCAGACCCCCUUCCCCUUCACCAAAAAUCAUAAUGAGACAGAGGAACAUGGGAAAACAUCUAUAAAACAGCAGAGUAAAAAUAAAAAAGCAGAACCACAAGAAUAUACACAACAUCAACAUUAAAUAAAAAGAAAAUUAAAGGGCAGUUGAAUUCUGGGUAAUUGAGGAAAAAAAAAAUUCAAUCCAAACCAACCUACCAAACCACUAUUAGUCCUGGCAAAUACCACAGAUCCAUCUCCUCUCAAUAGAGGGAAGAGGACACAAGGUAGCAGAAUAUUGGGGAAAAUACUGUCUACUUUUAUAGGAUUCUAGCUGGAAGGCCCUGAGGAAAUUUGAGGAAAAGUAUAAGAGUCAUGAUUUAAAUCUUCAAUUUUUUUUUUUGGGGGGGGAACUAAGCAAUUGGGGUUAAGUGACUUGUUCAGGGUCACACAGCUAGGAAGUAUUAAGUGUUUGAGGCUGAAUUUGAAUUCAGGUCCUCAUGAUUUCAGAGUAGGUGCUCUAUCCAUUGUGCCAUCUAACUGCCCCCAUGUAAAUACAGGAAUAGAAAUGCAUCAUCAGAUUUGGAAUCCAAGGACCCAUGUUUGAGAAUCACCUUGGCUCCUCACCUAGUACAAGUCUUUUCUUUUUUUUUUUGAGUCUCACUUUCCUCUCCUGAAAAUGGGGAGGUGGCAGGAUGGAUGAAAUGAUAAAUCAGAGCUCUUUCUGCCACAAAUCUAUGAACUUAAAGGAAUGAGCCACUGACUACCAACAUUCUCCAUCCUGCCAUCUCUGACAUUCUAGGCUCUCG
rnacentral:lncRNA from 1 species